AUCGAGUGACGCCGCGUGUGGGACGACGCCUUUCGGGGUGUAAACCACUUUUUUCGGGGACGAGGAUGGACGGUACCCGAAGAAUAAGCCUCGGCUAACUACGUGC
rnacentral:rRNA from 1 species